rnacentral:rRNA from 1 species
CACGUAGGAGGCGAGCGUUAUCCGGAUUUACUGGGUGUAAAGCGCGAGCAGGCGGUUUUGUAAGUUGGGUGUGAAAGCUCCUGGCUUAACUGGGAGAGGUCGCUCAAGACUGCAAGGCUAGAGCAUGGUAGAGGAAGGUGGAAUUCCGGGUGUAGUGGUGAAAUGCGUAGAGAUCCGGAGGAACACCAGUGGCGAAAGCGGCCUUCUGGGCCAUGACUGACGCUCAGACGCGAAAGCCAGGGGAGCAAACGGGAUUAGAACUCCGAGU